AAGUAGAUCAUUGAUAGAACAUCUGCUUUGCAUGCAGAAGGUCCCAGAUUCAAUUCCUGGCAUCUCUC
rnacentral:tRNA from 1 species